rnacentral:lncRNA from 1 species
GUUUUGAUUCCCCCUGCCCUGUUCAAGAGAUACUGGAAUACGAAAGGGUUCAGUGGAGGUUCACCAAGAGAACCUCAUGUAUAAAGGACAAAAGAAGAAAUUGGGUCUUCUCAACCUAGAGAAGAGAAGGGUUUGCUAAUUAGUUUGCCAUUUCCUAAAAUGUAAUCUCCUAAAAUGUAAUUAUGGGAAGAUGGUGCUCUUUUCACAAGUAUGUGGUGACAGGACAAAGGCAACAGACAAACUGUGCUGGGAAACCUUCAUACAAACAUAGGGAAAAAAUCUUGACCCUGAGAACCAAUUGGGUUAUGUUGCAUAUAGGUAGGAUCCUGGCUACUGUAAAUAAUUUGAGAUUCUGCUUGACAGGCAUUUGCAUUACCUGAUUUCUAAGUAACUAAAGUUGGAUCAGAUGAACUCCAGAGACCUCUCCCUACCUAAACUUUUCUCAUUCUACAGGAAAUUGAGGACUGAAGGAUUUGAACUUGUUGGAUUCCCCUCGAGUCUUUGUAAGAAAGAACCACCUUGUCAUUACUGGAAGAGGAGACAGAUAAAAAUCCAUGGUGUUGAUGCCCCCUUAAUGAAACAUUUUUCCAUACUGGAUCUCUGAACCUUUUGAAGGGAUAUUAAAGCCUUCUUGUCCCAAAGAGGUGAGUGGAUCAGUGGUUGUCAGAGAUGGCUAUGAACUAGAAGGGUGGUCCCGUUUUUCUGACACUGACAGGCACAGCUUAUUGAAGUUACUUUAUCUUGUUCUUUGUGCCCUCAGAACCAGUGAAAAAUACAUGCUUAUGGCAUAACUGAUUUUGCAUAGGAAGGAAAGUACUUCCUUUGACUGGUUUGUGGCACUCCCUAACCUGUGAAGAAAGCAAACUUUGUGAGUGGAAAUUGUUUUACGUAGUCUAAAUAGUUCAGUAGCUGUGUCAUGGGAGUGGUAUUCUUUAAAGCCUGCAGCUGAAAUGUUUAUCUCUACGCUAGGGUGCAGAGCGCAUAUCUUUAAGUAUGGUGUCGAUAUGUCCUGACCCAGAUGAAAGCUUCUUAAGACAGUUUUUUCUCAAUCCUGUUACUGCACAUUAACUGUGAAUGGGAUUAUUCUCUAGUCUGCCAGUCAAGCUGUUCAGAGAAAGCAAGAAAAAAAGUGAGGGAGAGAGGAGAGAACAGAUUCUGCUUUUGUCAGUCUGCCAUAGGACCAGCAGGACAAGGACCUAAACUUUCCACACUAUUAAGAACUACAGCUGCUUCUGAUAUAUGUUGCAGAGCAAUUAGCUGACAUACUAGACAACAAAAACACAUUUUGGAACAUUUUUCUCCCUUUAGGGAGGAUAAAAAUGCUCAUAAGGCCGUAAUUGCAGCACUGUAUUUGAAGCCAGCUUCUAGAGGAAUGUAAGCACAAGAGUCCCUUACCCUGGUCCUGCUUCCUGGGGAUGCCUGGGAGGCUUGUAGGGAAGGGCUUUCCUGACAGCCUGUGAGUGUCUAAGCAGGGCCAGUAAGGGAGAAUUCAGCGCUGUUGAAAAGCAGUGGAUCAGUAGCUCUGGAGAGUAGAGGCCUCUGUCUAUCCUCAGGAUGCAUUCGGUGCUGGCCCUGGCAGGCUCAAUUUCUUUGUCAGUCUGACU